CCUACGGGAGGCAGCAGUGGGGAAUAUUGGACAAUGGGCGCAAGCCUGAUCCAGCAAUGCCGCGUGAGUGAUGAAGGCCUUAGGGUCGUAAAGCUCUUUUACCAGGGAUGAUAAUGACAGUACCUGGAGAAUAAGCUCCGGCUAACUCCGUGCCAGCAGCCGCGGUAAUACGGAGGGAGCUAGCGUUGUUCGGAAUUACUGGGCGUAAAGCGUACGUAGGCGGUUAUUCAAGUCAGAGGUGAAAGCCCGGGGCUCAACCCCGGAACGGCCUUUGAAACUAGGUAGCUAGAAUCUUGGAGAGGUCAGUGGAAUUCCGAGUGUAGAGGUGAAAUUCGUAGAUAUUCGGAAGAACACCAGUGGCGAAGGCGACUGACUGGACAAGUAUUGACGCUGAGGUACGAAAGCGUGGGGAGCAAACAGGAUUAGAUACCCUGGUAGUCCACGCCGUAAACGAUGAUAACUAGCUGUUCGGGCACUUGGUGCUUGAGUGGCGCAGCUACGCAUUAAGUUAUUCCGUCCGUCGGGAGGUACGGUCGCGAAGAAGUUAAACUAACGAAAGGAAAGUAGACGACGUAGAGACGUAGACGACGACGACGACGAGGGAGUAGG
rnacentral:rRNA from 1 species